GCAUGUGUAGUGUAGUGGUUAUCACGGUUGUCUCGCACAUCAAGUCCUCAGUUCAAUUCUGGGCAGAUGCA
rnacentral:tRNA from 1 species